rnacentral:rRNA from 1 species
AUUACGUCCCUGCCCUUUGUACACACCGCCCGUCGCUACUACCGAUUGAAUGGCUUAGUGAGGUCUCCGGAUUGGCUUUGGGGAGCCGGCAACGGCACCCUAUCGCUGAGAAGCUGAUCAAACUUGGUCAUUUAGAGGAAGUAAAAGUCGUAACAAGGUUUCCGUAGGUGAACCUGCGGAAGGAUCAUUAUUGAAUAAAUCCGGCAUGGUUGUAGCUGGCUCUCUGGAGCAUGUGCUCGCCUGUCACCUUUAUCUUUCCACCUGUGCACACACUGUAGUUCUGGGUGCCUCUCGCUGCAAGGCGGAUGCGGGGAUUGCUGUUCAGCCUCCGCAAGGAGGAGGUCGGCUUUCUCUGAAUUUCCAGGACUAUGAUCUUAUACACCCCAAUUGAAUGUUUCAGAAUGUUAUCAUAAGGCCUUGUGCCUAUAAACCUAUACAACUUUCAGCAACGGAUCUCUUGGCUCUCGCAUCGAUGAAGAACGCAGCGAAAUGCGAUAAGUAAUGUGAAUUGCAGAAUUCAGUGGAUCAUCGAAUCUUUGAACGCACCUUGCGCUCCUUGGUAUUCCGAGGAGCAUGCCUGUUUGAGUGUCAUUAAAUUCUCAACCUCACCAACUUUGGUUGUGUGAAGGCUUGGAUGUGGGGGUUGCAGGUCCGCUUUGGUGGUCUGCUCCUCUAAAAUGUAUUAGUGGGUUAGUCCCCUAAUCUAUUGGUGUGAUAAUUAUCUACGCCGUGGAUUGGGAUGGCUAUAUAGA